rnacentral:siRNA from 1 species
UCAGAAGGUGGCAGUAAAUGCUUC